AAAGAAAUAAAACAGUUGUAUUUUGGAAUAGUUAGAUUGUUCACUCUCACUGAAUUCAUAUAUAAUGUCGUGAUACAACUUACUCAUUAUGCUAAGAAUGGAUGUAGCAAAUUUAUUACGCAAACUUACACAAUAGCAUUACAUUUUAUUCAACUCCGAUCACUAAUCUAAGCACAAUUUAUAACUGAUUUAAAAAUAAAAACUUCGUAAGUACUUAUUUAUUCAAUUAUUUGCCCGUGUCACAAUAGAGGCGAUCCACAUAUGAUAUUGUACAUUAUCGAGAUGGAAAUCCAAUGUUACAUAUUACUUUUUAUAAUUUUCUCCAGAUCGGGCAUUAUUGUCAGAUCGGACAUUGAACUUUGCAUGCACACAGUACGACUCUCCGCACUUCGGACAAGUGACUGCUAAUUUUACUCCUUCAACAUCUUUAUUUUGAGGAGUUGAUGGCUGCUUCUCGUUUCCAUUAUUUUCUUUCAUAUAACCUAAGGGAUCGGAUAUAUCUGAAACUCUCGUUGCAAAUGUAGAAUUAAACCCACUGAAUUUGAAAGGAGAUUUCAUAAGAAAUUCAUGGAUAAAACCACAAAAGAUUAAUCGGCUUUUCUCCAUAGCAGUUUUGCUAGUGAUUAACCACGGUUUAGGCACAGCUGAGCGUUGCAAACAAAAAACCGAUAGAAAAGUAAAGAAAGUAAAAUGAGCAAGAUCUAACCAGCAAGGGAGUGGAAGACUUGAUAAGAGAAGACUUGAUUGCUGAUGUGCCUAGCUUCGA
rnacentral:lncRNA from 1 species